UACGGAGGGGGCUAGCGUUGUUCGGAAUUACUGGGCGUAAAGCGCGCGUAGGCGGACCUGCAAGUCGGGGGUGAAAGCCCGAGGCUCAACCUCGGAACUGCCUUCGAUACUGCGGGUCUCGAGUCCGGGAGAGGUGAGUGGAAUUCCUAGUGUAGAGGUGAAAUUCGUAGAUAUCAUUUGGAACGCCAAUGGUGAAAACAGGUAGCUGGGGGUGUGCUGACGCUGAGACACGAAAGCCAGGGGAGCAAACGGG
rnacentral:rRNA from 1 species